GAGAAGGCUCUGGGGAGACCUGAGAGCCCCUUCCAGUGCCUAAAGGGGCACCAAGAGAGCUGGAGAGGGACUGGACAAAAAGUGUGGCAAAAGAGGUAAGCAGAAGAAACUCCACUUGUUGCCGAAGUGGGCCAUGAGUGUUCAGCAAUAUUGAGGCUUCUUGGGUUUGUUUUUGAAUGCUCAGAGUCAGAACAAUCAUUACCUGGAUGUUUAAUUUUGAAAAUAGAGAUAGAUUUGAGCUACUCUCUGGGCUGGGAUGAUCUGAGAGUUGACAGUUUUGAAGAGAAUGGUCUCUCUAAGUUCUGCUUUACUGCCUAAGACUUUGGACACUCCUGUGUUUUCUCUGUUACAAUAAAGAGGAAACAUCCACAAAACAAUAAACCAAAUGCCUGAAUAACCAGGAAAAAGAACACAGAUUCAGAGUCCUAAAGGGGAAGAGCGAAAGGGGACCUGAAUCAACAUAACCAGAACUGAAUGUGCUGACUUUGCUGGAAGAUCUCCAGGCUCAAGAAGAGUUUUCCAGAGAGUUCUCCAGGCUCAAGAAGAACACUCCAGGCUCAAGAAGAGUUCUCCAACUCAAGAGGAGAAAUACCUUAUAUGACAACUUCAGUUUCCAAAAGAAGCAGAAUGGAAGAUGAUUGUAGAUCCAUGCAAGAUAGAUAAUGGAUGCAGCUGAACCCCUGGAAACAGGAGGAUUUGUUACUUCCCAAGAUAGUUCUUUUAUAAGGAGUAUAAAGGGAUUUCUUAACAGGUGAGGUAGUAAUGCAACACUACUCAUGGGUGGGAGAGGAAGAGGAUUGACAUGACACUGGAAGAGAGUUCAUUGACAUGAACUUGGUUUCUCUGUGAUUUGCAUCUUCUACAGAGACUGGGAUUAAGUGUUUGGAAAAUGGGGAGGAAUUUCCACACAGUUUUGAAACAGCAAUAGAAGUAAUACAGUGAUGACAGUUUAUAUGAAAUGCUGGUUAGAAUUAUGUUCUUUAGGUAAAAAUUCCAAAAGUCUGACUGAUCCAUAGUAGUCUGCCUUGAUUUGGUCUCCAGAACAAACCCGGCUUUUUGAUUUUUGCCCACCCCAAGAAACAUCUCUCUCCAUCCUCUGAACCAUGGUCACCGUGCCUUGAAUGGGAACUUAUUGCUGUUAAUGCAUAAAAUGGAGGUUCAGUGUUUGUGCCAAUAAAAAUAGAAUGAAAAUUGCUCCACAACACUGGUUUUAAGUUGAUUUUUAACUUGUCCAGUGCUCAAAAACCUACUUGAUAGCCAAGCAUGUGAGCAGGAGCAGUCUCAUGCUUCCCCUGUUAAAACAGGAUGCUCUUAGCAGCAUAAUUUUUUGUGAUAGCAGAAUAUUUUUUGUGAUGCUCUUUCCCUUUUGGAUUUCCUUUCUGGGGCUGGUUUUUUCGCUGUUUCACCUCUCCUGCCAAGCCUGUCUUUUUUUCCACUUUCUCUCCCCCUUCUUCUAAGGCUUUGGAGAGGAGAGGUAGGAUCAGGUAAGGCCAGUCUAGCAGUCUCAUGAGAAUAUUUUAAGUUGUUCUAUGCCUAGGUUAGGCUUAAUUUCUUUCAAAGUUAUAAAUACCUAAAAAAUAUUCUGUGUAGAUAUGUCUGCUAUCAAGAUUUAGGGAAGAGAUGCAGGAAAAACUAAAGCUUCAGGAAAGAUCCUUAUUGUGAGAGAAUGAAAUUGUUGGAGCUCCCUGAGCCCAAUGAAGGAAGAGGCAGUGAUUUGACCAUAAAAUGAGAAGUUUUAUAGCAGACAGUACUUCAAUCUGUCAGUGAUAAAGAAAUAGCAGCUGAAGUGUGAAUCAAUACCAGUUCAAGAUGUACAGGAGGUGUAAAUUCCUAGUGCCAAGGUUAAUUGCCCAAGAGCAGGGAUAGAUUAUCCACUAAGGGAAAUAUCAAAAUAUCAAAAUUCAAGAAUAAUUUAAUUUUAUAGCAGAUGACUCCUUGUAAACUGUAGCAGUUGUUUGCUUUGACUCAGAAAGAGAUUAGGACAGUCCUGUGGGCAGAAUUAUCCUAAUUGGGUCACAUCCUGCAUAAUCCACCUUUUGGGAUGCACGAGUGCCUUUAAAACAACCAUUUAGCUGCAGACCCAGAUAGAAAGAUAACUUCUUCUGGCAAGAAGAGAUGCCAAUGUUCUAACAAGUGAGUCUGAGUUCCUCUUCAGGAUCAUCUCACAAUCAGUUGUGAAAAAGAAACAAGAUGAAGUAAGAAAAGUUGAAUGUUGCCCAAGUAAAAUAAAAGGUGAAUGAAGAUGCUGCCAAUGAGCUCAGAUUAUGUCUUAGUCAUUUUGACAUUUUUCUUUUCUCUCUUCUCUCUUCUCCCCUCAUCCAAGUGGAAGAUCAGGAACCUGUGACUUCAUUAGAAACUAGAAAGCUAAAAUAUUUCUGUCUGGAGCAAAUAUUCCAAAUUACCAAAAAUAAAGGAAUAAAUAAAACAUAA